GCCAGGUGUGGUGGCACACACCUGUAAUCCCAGUGACUUCGGAGGCCAAGGCAGGAGAAUUUCACGUUCAAGGACACUCUCAGCUAGUUAGCAAGAUUCUGUCUCAA
rnacentral:sRNA from 1 species